rnacentral:rRNA from 1 species
AAUUCGAUUGGCGGACGGGUGAGUAAUGUCUGGGAAACUGCUGAUGGAGGGGGAUAACUACUGGAAACGGUAGCUAAUACCGCAUAACGUCGCAAGACCAAAAAGGGGGACUUUCGGGCCUCUUGCCAUCGGAUGUGCCCAGAUGGGAUUAGCUAGUAGGUGGGGUAACGGCUCACCUAGGCGACGAUCCCUAGCUGGUCUGAGAGGAUGACCAGCCACACUGGAACUGAGACACGGUCCAGACUCCUACGGGAGGCAGCAGUGGGGAAUAUUGGACAAUGGGCGCAAGCCUGAUCCAGCCAUGCCGCGUGUGUGAAGAAGGCCUUCGGGUUGUAAAGCACUUUCAGUUGGGAGGAAGGGUUGUGUGUUAAUAGUACACAGCCUUGACGUUACCAACAGAAGAAGCACCGGCUAACUCUGUGCCAGCAGCCGCGGUAAUACAGAGGGUGCAAGCGUUAAUCGGAAUUACUGGGCGUAAAGCGCACGUAGGCGGUUUUUUAAGUCAGAUGUGAAAGCCCCGGGCUCAACCUGGGAAUUGCAUUUGAAGCUGGAAAACUAGAGUGUGUGAGAGGGGGGUAGAAUUCCAAGUGUAGCGGUGAAAUGCGUAGAGAUUUGGAGGAAUNANCCAGUGGCGAAGGCGGCCCCCUGGCACAACACUGACGCUCAGGUGCGAAAGCGUGGGGAGCAAACAGGAUUAGAUACCCUGGUAGUCCACGCCGUAAACGAUGUCUACUAGCUGUUCGUGACCUUGUGUCGUGAGUAGCGCAGCUAACGCACUAAGUAGACCGNCCUGGGGAGUACGGUCGCANANGAUUAAAACUCAAAUGAAUUGACGGGGGCCCGCACAAGCGGUGGAGCAUGUGGUUUAAUUCGACGCAACGCGAAGAACCUUACCUACUCUUGACAUCCAGAGAAGACUGCAGAGAUGCGGUUGUGCCUUCGGGAACUCUGAGACAGGUGCUGCAUGGCUGUCGUCAGCUCGUGUUGUGAAAUGUUGGGUUAAGUCCCGCAACGAGCGCAACCCUUAUCCUUAGUUGCCAGCACGUAAUGGUGGGAACUCUAGGGAGACUGCCGGUGAUAAACCGGAGGAAGGUGGGGACGACGUCAAGUCAUCAUGGCCCUUACGAGUAGGGCUACACACGUGCUACAAUGGUAUGUACAGAGGGAGGCAAGCUGGCGACAGUGAGCGGAUCUCUUAAAGCAUAUCGUAGUCCGGAUCGCAGUCUGCAACUCGACUGCGUGAAGUCGGAAUCGCUAGUAAUCGCAAAUCAGAAUG